rnacentral:tRNA from 2 species
CGGGGUGUAGCGCAGUUGGUAGCGCAUCUGGUUUGGGACCAGGGGGUCGCAGGUUCGAAUCCUGUCACCCCGA